UCCGGUUUGACACCGGCAGUCCCAUUAGAGUGCCCAACUUAAUGUGGCAACUAAUGGCAAGGGUUGCGCUCGUUGCGGGACUUAACCCAACAUCUCACGGCACGGGCUGACGACAGCCAUGCAGCAUCUGUGCUGGUUCUCGACUUUACGAGUCGUUCCCCUUUCGGGGUUCUACUUCCAGCAUGUCAAACCUAGGUGAGGUUCUUCGCGUUGCAUCGAAUUAAACCACAUGCUCCACCGCUUGUGCGGGCCCCCGUCAAUUCCUUUGAGUUUUAGCCUUGCGGCCGUACUCCCCAGGCGGGAUGCUUAACGCGUUAGCUACGUUGCCGCAGGGGUCAAUACCCGCGACGACUAGCAUCCAUCGUUUACGGCGUGGACUAC
rnacentral:misc_RNA from 1 species